rnacentral:rRNA from 1 species
AGAGUUUGAUCCUGGCUCAGAAUCAACGCUGGCGGCGUGCCUAACACAUGCAAGUCGAACGAGAAAGGGGAGCAAUCCCUGAGUAAAGUGGCGCACGGGUGAGUAACACGUGACUAACCUACCCUGGAGUGGGGGAUAACUGAGGGAAACCUUAGCUAAUACCGCAUAAUACCCACGGGUCAAAGGAGCAAUUCGCUCUGGGAGGGGGUCGCGGCCGAUUAGUUAGUUGGCGGGGUAAUGGCCCACCAAGACGAUGAUCGGUAUCCGGCCUGAGAGGGCGCACGGACACACUGGAACUGAAACACGGUCCAGACUCCUACGGGAGGCAGCAGUGGGGAAUUUUGCGCAAUGGGGGAAACCCUGACGCAGCAACGCCGCGUGGAGGAUGAAGUACUUCGGUACGUAAACUCCUUUCGAUCGGGACGAUUAUGACGGUACCGAGAGAAGAAGCCCCGGCUAACUUCGUGCCAGCAGCCGCGGUAAUACGAGGGGGGCGAGCGUUGUUCGGAAUUAUUGGGCGUAAAGGGUGCGUAGGCGGUUUGGUAAGUCUGAUGUGAAAUCUAUGGGCUCAACUCAUAGUCUGCAUCGGAAACUGCCGGGCUUGAGUGUGG